rnacentral:rRNA from 1 species
UACGUAGGAGGCGAGCGUUGUCCGGAGUUACUGGGCGUAAAGGGUGCGCAGGCGGCCGCGCGCGUGGGUGGUGAAAUCUCCCGGCUCAACUGGGAGGGGGCCAUCCAGACGGCGUGGCUUGAGGCUCGGAGGGGGGCGUGGAAUUCCGGGUGGAGGCGGUGAAAUGCGUAGAGAGUCCGGAGGAACACCGACGGCGAAGGCAGCGCCCUGGACCAUUCUGACGCUGAGG